GCAUCUUUAGCUGAAUGGUAAAGCAUAUGACUUCGAAUCAUUAGGAUGUUGGUUCGACUCCAACAAGAUGUU
rnacentral:tRNA from 1 species